AUCUAUUUUUCCAUCGCCCUUCAAUGGUAAACCCUUAUCUGUUUGUGCGACCACCGUUCCAUUCGCCAUCGGCUGUGACAUUGUCGAGGAUUCGCAGGCCUCCCCUGUAGCUCUCUCUGGUUUUUCCAUUGUGACGCAUAUGGUAAGAUUUUUAAACCAAUUUCAUCACUGUUUCCAUGCAUAGUUAACAAGAUGUGAAACUGGACUUCAUGGAAUUGAUUUCUUUGGUGAUUAAGCUGAUUUCCCCUAAUUGAUUCUAGCAUAGUAGCAUUUUUGAAUAUUUUCUUAGGUGUUGUAGUGACCAAUUAACCUUAUCAACCUCUAGCAGUAACUACAAUAGCCAAAUAGAAGACAAAAAUGCCAUUACUUCUUCUGUUGGUUUAUUUCCCACAACUUCACCAUACUUCUAUUCUGAUGCCAAUUUUGCUUAUAAUGAGUGUUUAUCGAGAAUAUCUGAAAUCUAGAACUAGGCGCCAAAAAUAUAGAGAUUAGCAUAAAUGUGGUGAGGAUUGUCUAGUUACGAAUUUGGGACUGGUGUGGCCUAAUUCAAGGUUUGCUUGUGGAUGAUGGUACCUUGUAAACAACUUAAUUUACUUGUGAAUCUGAUAUGUUUGUUGAUAAUUGAAGAAGCAGAUAAGUGGUAGGAUUUAGAAAUAUUAGAAGUGGAAUGCAUGGACUAGUAAAACCGUAUGGUUUAUUACAUUGAUGGUUAGUACAACACUUAAGUCUUAGUGUUGCCACACAUACAUGGUGAGGCACUAAUGCCUAUUUAUAGCUGGAGUCACCGCCUUGAUUUUGGCGGUUUAUUAUAUGAUACAAUUGGAUCAUUCUAGAGUUUAGAAACAUCAAAAUAGUCUAUGUGCUUUCUAUAAUAGUGUAGAUUUUAAAAGAUAAUUCUAGAAAUUUGCAUCAAUUCUUAACAAUGUUUAACCUCUUACAUUUUCCUUCAAUGUAUACAUCUUAGCAAGCUAUCUCUAUGGUGGAGAUUUUGUAUGAUAAUUCGAUUAGCUCAUUAAGUUAAUUCAAUCAUGUUUCUGGGAAAUAACUUUUUGGUAUUUAAAUUAUUUCUGUAGCAUAGUCUUUAGGUUGAUUCUACUGCUUAAAUGAAAAUAUUCUGUCUGUGCUUUUUCCUUGCUUCAACUUGGGUGUGUGUUAAAAGCUUGCUCCUGUGGAUGUUGACAUGGCAAGGUUCUUGCUAACAAUCAGAAAUGUUUAUGUGCUCUUAUUUUAAAUGGUUGAACUCACUGGACAAGUUUUUGAAGUAAUAAAGUAAGAAACAAUUUUUUUAAAAAGGAUAUAAUUCUUGAAGAAGUCAAUUUAAUGUGAAGCUUAAAGAUUAGGAGGAGUGAUUUCAUUUGAUUAGCUCAUAGUUCUGAGUUUAUCUAAUGCUGGUUAUAGGUAUUAUGAUUACAUUUACUUGUAUAGACUGACUAAUUUAUUUCCUAUAUACAUUAGACCCCCAAAGUAUAAGCAAGAUAUCACACACACAGAAAUGGGGAUGAUGAGAAGAAAAAGAAUAUUGUUUUUGUUUCUAAUGACCAGAUGAGGAAUUGGGUGAAUGAGAUAGAACAUUAUGCUAUUCUGGUCAACAUACUGGUCUGGUCAAAUCUAAAAUCUUGUAGGCCACCUUUGAUCUGGGGUCUGUUAUGAUCGUGAAAGAUUAGCAAACCCUAACAUUGGUAGUUGCUUUGUUUCUUUGUUGGUUGUAUGUUUCUGGCUUCUUUUGAUAUGAAAAUAUUAUUUUUUGCAAGAGUUAAUCGCUUUAAUAUUUUUUUUCAGUAACACCUAGCAAAUUGAAAUGAGAGAGUUCUGCUUUGAAUUAUCUAUUUGGUUGGCAGUAAUUAGUAUGUCUAUGAAAUUUAACUUUCUCUGUUUUCCUUGGACUUCAUGGCAUAAGAAAAGUUCACAUAGGCGGUUAAAAAGGCAUAAAGCCACAUAAAAAUUAACUUGAACUCUUUGGCAUUUAAUUUAUCUUCUUUUCUACUUUCAGUACUCUAUGAAGACCCGGAACUUUAAAAUUAGAGCCACAUGGAAAUUUCAUCAUCCUAGAGACCAAGUUGGGAACUGAGAUCGCUGGAAGAGUUGCCUUAAGCAUUUUCACUGUGGUGUGAGAGUGUUGGCGGUUCACAGUCAAUGAUGUCAUGCUCAUAUCAUGGUCACUUCGGGUAAUUAACUUCAAAUAUUUUCAUUUUCUAUUUGCUUAUAUAUAGUUUCAUGAGAAUUUCUCAAAACUUAUGAAAAAGAUGGGAGUGUUUAGGUCACGGGUUCUUAAAUUAAGGUCUUGUUUUCUAGUUGUCGGUAUGUUUGGAUUGACAGAACAUAACAGAGCAGAACGAAUUGAAAUAUAAUGGAACAGAUAGAGCGGAAUGAAAUGGAAUAAAAAUCUCAUCCCAUUGUUUGGGUAUUUUAUGAUAACACGAAACAAAAUCACCACUCCCUUAUUUGGAUAAUGGACGGAGCGGAAUGAGUUAUAACUUUUUUAUUCCUAUAUUACCUUUCUUUAAAUAAUAAAAUUCUCAUUAAAUUAUUAAAAUGAUUAACAAAAUAAUUUUUUAGAGGAAUUAACAAAAUCAUUAUCCUUGCUAAACUCUCAUUAUAUCUAUUUACUCAAAUUAAAUUAUAUCCUCAUCAUUUAUCUACAGUAAACUAUACUAGUAUAUGCCAAUAUUUUUUUAUAAAACGUACUGAACAUAAUAGAACACUAUCGAAAAAAGUAAACGAAAAAUAAAAGAAUGCAACAGUUGGAAAAAAAAAUAGUUUGUUGACAAAUAAAAGAAUAUGUAUACAUUAGUAUUAAUAAUUAAAUAUGAACAGUAUCAUUAUAUUACCUUUCGUAAGCUGUAAUGUUUUAUUUUUGCUAGAUAUGUUAAAAUAAUGUUGGAACUUGGUUGUUUGUGUGAGGGGAGAGAGUAGAGACUCACGGAGAGAGAGUGGGAGAGAGUGGGAGAGACUAUUAAGUUAAGGGCUAGAAAUCUAGAAUUGUAAAUUGAUAAUUUUUAUAAGUGUAAAAUCUUGAUUUCAUCCCAUACCUUCCAAAUUGAGGGAAGCAAAAUGAUGGAAACUAAUCUCAUCUCAUUUCCAUCUCAUCCCACCUUUUCAUAACAUAUCCAAACAAUAGAACAUAAAAAUAUUUCACUCCAUCUCAUCUCACCCCACUCCCUGCCACCAAUCCAAAUAUAGCCUAAUGAUGGCAUAGUGUAUAUUUGACUGUGGAUAAAUGAUGAAGAUAUAAACUAAUUAGAGUAAAUAGAUAUGAUGAGAUUUUAGCAAGGUAAUUAUUUUGUUAAUUAUUUUUGUAGUUUAAUGAUAAUCUUUUAUUUUAAAGCAAAGGUAAUGUAGGAAUUAAAAAGUUAUAACUCAUUCCGCUCCAUCCAUUAUCCAAAAAGGGGCGUGGUAACUUUAAUUUGUUAUGUUCCAUCAUUAAAUACCCAAACAAUGGGAUGAGAUUUUUAUUCCAUUCUGUUCUGCUCCAUUAUAUUUCAUUACGUUCCGCUCCGUUAUGUUUCAUCAAUCCAGCCUAAAUGUUUGCAUAGAUUAACACAUCACGAUAGCAAAAUAACAAUAUAAGGAACAAUGGCUGAAAAUGGUGGGUGGAUGGUUGACCAAAAAUAUGUAUACUGCAUGUUUGCACAAACUAUAUAUUAAUUAAUCAGGUUCUAGUACUUUUUGAGAUAAAUAUGUUGAGAUUGAUACUUUGAGACACUAUUACAACACUAGUAGCAGAUUAGGUAGACCAUCACAACACGUUCAACAGAGGAAUAUGUAGCAGCAAAUGCUAGGAUAAGCUAACUUCAAUUUUAGAAUUGAGAACUUAAUUUUCAAGUAUACACUAUUUGUUCCCCUUCUUCAUGUAACUUUUGUCAUGGACAUGAUUAAAGUUGUAUAGUGCAAUUUCUCAAACUCAAUGGCUUGUGAAAUCUUGUGUGCAAACCUUGAGAAUAAUUCAUCCAUGAUACCUUUGCCAAAUGCGGCAGAGUAAAGUGGUUCCACGACGGAUCUGAGGGUCUUGGAAAUUAACUCUCCUUUAAUUUUGGUAUCCAUGUCAUGUGGAAGGUGUCCAUCCAAACUUAUUUGGAUAGUUUUCAGUGUUUGAAGGGUAAAAGAUCCUUCUGCCUCAAUUAUUUGUUUGACUUCCUCCACAGUAGGAAUAUAUAUAGGCAUAUUAAAGCAAUCUAAUUUAGUCUCUUCAAGCAAACCCUGCAUUUAUAUUAAUUUAUAGGGAACAAUAUUAGUUACUACCAAAUAGGAAUAACAUGUUAUAAACUACAGAAAAACAUUACAUUCCAGUUAGUUUCUUGAAAAUCUAGUAAUAAUGGUAAUCAAAAUUGUAUUCGUUGCAUACCUCCAAGACCAUGUCCUUCAGUACCAACUCAAUUAAGUCCUGCGUAGUACCCUUUUCAAAUGCAGCAUUUUCUCUUCCCAGUAAAGAUAGUACCAUACUUCCAUCAAGUGUUAGUUCGUUCGAACGUGAUCGAAGAAAUAGAUUGAAAUCUCUUUGGAAUUGCUCAAAAUAUGCUUUAUACACUAUUUUAGGACUUUUGAUUGUUAAAUAAAUAUGACCCUUGUUCAGUGGUUCUGCCCCUUUAGUCAAUUCUUCUGGAGACUGUUCCGGAAAAAGCAAUAGACACACACAAAUGAUAUUAUUUUGUGCUUUGCUUCACAAACACAACUUUAACAACUUUAAUAUAUAUAUUAAUAAAUACCUGCGAGAGCCAAUGAAGACUAUUCGAAGAAUGAAAGAAAUCGAUGUAAUUAUUAGGAAAGAGCCUCCCAUAGAAGUUCCCUGGAGUUGCAUUUAUAAAGCAUGCUCCAGCUUUGUCUCCCCUAUCUUGUAUCUUUUGGUAGAAAUCAGGAAGUAACUUGAAGAUACCAUUAAAAUCGUUUCCAAAAAGAUCACUAAGAUAAACUUGGAGUAUGGGCACCUCUUGCUUUGAGCCCAAUCUAGUUGUGUUGAUGACGCUCAUUAUAUCGGACACGACCAGAAGUGAAUUUGGUCCUGAAGAGCAUCCUAAAUCUGCCACUUUCAAAUUACUUUUAAAAGUGGUGUGAUGCAACAAUGUCUUAAUACUUUCUUCUAGUAUUGACUUCAUUUCAAAUAACACUUUUCUCUGCAAUAAAAAAAACUUGGUUACAACAAUGACGACGCCAACAAUAAUAAGCCAAAUGUUAUCCCAUAAUCUUAGGGACAGCUGUGAUAUAAAAAAUUCAAAAUGAUGAUCUGUAGGUUAUUAGCUGAAUCUGUUUUAUUUUGGCAUUCCUUGAGAUUUUCUCUAUGGUGUUAUGAUGUUAUAGGGAUGCCAUUUUAGAAACUGAGGUUUAUUUUGAAAUUUUUUGGGGUGGUGUUUUGGAUGAGAUUUUAUUGUAUAAGGUUGUAUAUCCGUCAUGAGAAUGGUUGUUUCUCAUGUUCUCUUAAUUUUAUGAAUAUAACUCUUGCUUUAAAAAGAAUUAUUUUUCAAUAAAAAAUUAUAUUUUCUAUAAUUUUUUUACCAGAAGUUCGAGGGAGAGUAGAAGUAGUAACAAGAAGAGAAUGCAUACAAUGGAAAAGUUCAAGGGAGCAUAUGAUUAUUGAGUAGGCAGCUGAGGUUCUUUCUCCCUUGAGAAAUUAAUCCGGUAAGUUAAAUAUUAAUUCGAUCUCUUUACUUACUAUUGACACCAAAAUAUUGGCUGAUGCAGAAUGGUUGUAAACUAAUUUAAUCGAGUCAAGGUUAGCUCAGAGCAGACAAGUUUAUUUUUUAUAUGCUAAAUAAUGAUAUUAAUGUGGAGCACAAGGGGUGCCCCAUCCGAUACAAAGGAAAAACAAAAGUCUAAAUAACAAGAAACAUCCUACAGCGUUCAAAUGAAGUAAAAAUCACAUACUCUAUAAAACUGACACAUUUCAACGGGCUUUGCCAACAAAUGAGAAG
rnacentral:lncRNA from 1 species